rnacentral:rRNA from 1 species
CCUACGGGUGGCUGCAGUGGGGAAUAUUGGGCAAUGGGGGAAACCCUGACCCAGCAACGCCGCGUAAAGGAAGAAGGUCUUCGGAUUGUAAACUUUUGUCCCACGGGAAGAAAAAAAUGACGGUACCGUGGGAGGAAGCCCCGGCUAACUACGUGCCAGCAGCCGCGGUAAUACGUAGGGGGCGAGCGUUGUCCGGAAUUACUGGGCGUAAAGGGUGCGCAGGCGGCUUGUCAAGUCAUGUGUGAAAUACCCAGGCUUAACCUGGGGGGUGCAUAUGAAACUGGCGAGCUUGAGUGCAGGAGAGGGGAGCGGAAUUCCUAGUGUAGCGGUGAAAUGCGUAGAUAUUAGGAGGAACACCAGUGGCGAAGGCGGCUCUCUGGACUGCAACUGACGCUGAGGCACGAAAGCGUGGGGAGCAAACAGGAUUAGAUACCCGAGUAGUC